UACGGAGGGUGCGAGCGUUGUCCGGAAUCAUUGGGCGUAAAGGGCGCGUAGGUGGCGGGACAAGCGUGCGGUGAAAGCUCGGGGCUCAACCCCGAGUCGGCCGUGCGAACUGUUUUGCUUGAGCACUGUAGAGGCAGGCGGAAUUCCGGGUGUAGCGGUGGAAUGCGUAGAGAUCCGGAAGAACACCGGUGGCGAAGGCGGCCUGCUGGGCAGUAGCUGACGCUGAGGCGCGAAGGCUAGGGGAGCGAACGGG
rnacentral:rRNA from 1 species